AUUGAACGCUGGCGGCAGGCCUAACACAUGCAAGUCGAACGAGUGGCGGACGGGUGAGUAAUGUCUGGGAAACUGCCCGAUGGAGGGGGAUAACUACUGGAAACGGUAGCUAAUACCGCAUACCAUCGGAUGUACCCAGAUGGGAUUAGCUUGUAGGUGAGGUAACGGCUCACCUAGGCGACGAUCCCUAGCUGGUCUGAGAGGCUGAUCAGCCCCACUGGCACUGAGACACGGUCCAGACUCCUACGGGAGGCAGAAGUGGGGAAUAUUGCACAAUGGGCGCAAGCCUGAUGCAGCCAUGCCGCGUGUAUGAAGAAGGCCUUCGGGUUGUAAAGUACGUUCAGCGGGGAGGCGUUACCCGCAGAAGAAGCACCGGCUAACGCCGUGCCAGCAGCCGCGGUAAUUC
rnacentral:rRNA from 1 species